AUUGAACGCUAGCGGGAUGCUUUACACAUGCAAGUCGAACGAGUGGCGGACGGGCGAGCAAUAUAUCGGAACGUGCCCAGUAGCGGGGGAUAACUACUCGAAAGAGUGGCUAAUACCGCACACUAUUGGAGCGGCCGUUAUCGGUUUUGCCAGUUGGUGGGGUAAAGGCUCCCCAAGGCAACGAUCCGUAGCGGGUUUGAGAGGAUGACCAGCCACACUGGAACGGGGACACGGCCCAGACUCCUACGGGAGGCAGCAGUGGGGAAUUUUGGGCAAUGGGGGAAACCCUGAUCCAGCCAUCCCGCGUGUAUGAGAAGGCCUUCGGGUUGUAAAGUACUUUUGGCAGAGAAGCGGUAUCUACAGAAUAAGCACCGGCUAACUACGUGCCAGCAGCCGCGGUAAUAC
rnacentral:rRNA from 1 species